GUGCGUGUUAUGAGAAUAAACCUGAGACGUUUCACAACCUUGCGAGAAGAAAUACUGCAGUACAGAUGGACUCUCAACCAAAACAGUUAGCAUGCAGUUGACACAGAGACAGCACUGGCUUCUCAAGGGAAAACCACAGUUCUUUACUAUGAGUCCAUAACUUCUGUAUUGCGAGAGAAGACUCGUUAUUCUGCUGCUGAGGAACAAGCAUAUGGGAUGGGCUCUUCAGGCAAGAUCGUGUGUGUCCUUUAUCACAGUCACCAAGAAAAACUGAUAAACCAUCUGCAUUAAGUCUCACAGCUAUGAAGGGGAGGGGGUGUCAAUUGCAGACUGAGUAGCCAGCCAGAUGGCUGGGAACAGUCUCUCCUCCUUUGGAUGCCAGACAGCUUGAGCAGCAAAAGCUUUUC